UGGACAGUCGCAUUUCAGCUUUUUCUUCAAUUAGGGCACACAGAGAUCGCAAACUGAAUUUCUCUUCGGCAAUUGCAAUCAGAUAACGGGAAUUUCUUUGCUGCGUUACUCUUGCAACGAUAUUCCAACUGAUGACCAAAGGGGCUGCUUGAAGGAGUUUAUGGAUUGGGUUCUGAUAUUCAGAGAACCACCAAACCAUCAUCUGGUGCCUAAUAUCACCAUCAUAGUCCAAAUUGGUCUCUGAAGCAUUUCCAGACUGCUUUGCUGAUGUUGCUAUCAAUGAAAAUAUGAUGCUUAUCUUCAUUCAUUGGUUUCAUGCAACAAGCACAUUUUGAUGGAAAAUGAAUUUCCAUCUUUCUGAUAUUAUCAUUUGUGGGUAGUUUGUCUCUCAAAAGUUUUCAAUCGAAAAUAGAGAUUUUGAAAGGAAUAGCGUUAUGCCAUAAGAACUUAUUCACAAAAGAAAUCCCUUGUCUUUGUCUCAGGCUAUUCCAGGCUGAGAAGCAUAUGAGCUGACCAUUAGUUGAGCCAGUCCAUAUUGCUUGGUCUUGUACAUUUGAGUUACCUAUUUUGAUACCUCUAAUAUGUUCAACCAAGUAGCCUAGAAUAGCUUGAGACAAUUUAGGAAUAUUCCUGGAAUUAUUAACAAUAAAGUUACAUACCUUAUCCUUAUUAUAAAUGGAACAGCUGCAAAAGUUGGAUAAAGGAUCCAAACCUGUCCAGUUGUCCCAGUAGAAAGAAGAAUUUCCUCCUUGGAUCCUCCAUGUUAUAUGUGGUUCUACUUCUGUUAAAUGAAGAAUUUAUCCUCCAUGUUAAAUGGGCUGGAUUGCUUUGAGUUUC